GUUAUGGUUGGUACCUAUGUUCGAUUAGUAUGGCGGGGAAGUCUCUGGAUAUCUGUCAUAUUUUGUGCAUAAAUAUAUUUGGCCCAUUUAUUUCAUGUUUCAUACAAAGAUUGACAAAGUUAAGCCUUUGGUUAAGCGAAUAAAGUCUCGUUGCCUCGUUCCUGUGAGCUUUAUAAAAGUUAGAUAUCUUUUACUGAGGUGUGAUUAAGUACAAUGAGCUUAAAUCAAGAAAUCUUAAAAUAUGCUCCCUCGUACUGGGACAAGACAUUGCAAAAUAGAGAAGAAAACAUAUCAUCAAGUAGUGACGAAUUUAAGAACAUUUUUUCCGAAAUCACCAAAGCCGUCUACAGCACCCACUUCUCUGUUCAAAAAAUUAUCAGAAUUCAAAAUAUUCAUGACUUGGGUCAAUUGUUAAUUCGAGAACAACUGUUAGUAACAAGUAAUCCUCAUACACAGUAUUAUAGGGUAAGAAGAUUUAUAAAAAUAAAUAAACUAUAUUAUGGAAAUGCUAUAAAAUAUAAUAUAGACCAUCGAAGAUGUGGACUUCCUCAAGUCCAAUUUCGCAAAUCCGUUGGUAUGUCCCCGUCUUCAUCACAUGUGUUGUUAGUUGUGCAAGUGGUAACUGACAACCCAUCUGCAGAGUACAUAAACCCUGCAAAUUCUUUAGAAUAUUUUAUUGAAUAUGUUGUAUUUUUCAAAACGCUUUCUAUAUUAUGACUGAUUAGGUGAAUAAUUCUUGAUCAUAUUAUAUACAUUUUAUAAUUUUCCAAAUUGUUUACCAAAGUUGAUUAUUUUAGUUUUUAGAACAUUGUAUAUCAAUAUUAACAAAAUAAAUAUUUUUAUAUAGUCAA
rnacentral:misc_RNA from 1 species